rnacentral:rRNA from 1 species
UAAUACGUAGGAAGCGAGCGUUGUCCGGAUUUAUUGGGCGUAAAGAGCGCGUAGGCGGCUCGACAAGUCUCGUGUGAAAUCUCCCGGCUCAACUGGGAGGCGCCAUGAGAAACUGUCGGACUUGAGGGCAGCAGAGGAAGACGGAAUUCCAGGAGUAGUGGUGAAAUGCGUAGAUACCUGGAGGAACCCCAGUGGCGAAGGCGGUCUUCUGGGCUGUUACCUGACGCUGAGGCGCGAGAGCGUGGGGAGCAAACCGGAUUAGAUACCCGGGUAGUCCACGCCCUAAACGAUGGAUACUAGGUAUGGGGGGUAUCGACCCCCUCCGUGCCGUAGUUAACGCGAUAAGUAUCCCGCCUGGGGAGUACGGCCGCAAGGCUA